rnacentral:rRNA from 1 species
UUCUUCGGAAUGCAGAGACCGGCGCACGGGUGCGUAACGCGUAUGCAAUCUACCUUUCACAGAGGGAUAGCCCAGAGAAAUUUGGAUUAAUACCUCAUAGUAUAGCAGUUUCGCAUGAAACCACUAUUAAAGUCACAACGGUGAAAGAUGAGCAUGCGUCCCAUUAGCUAGUUGGUAAGGUAACGGCUUACCAAGGCAACGAUGGGUAGGGGUCCUGAGAGGGAGAUCCCCCACACUGGUACUGAGACACGGACCAGACUCCUACGGGAGGCAGCAGUGAGGAAUAUUGGACAAUGGGCGCAAGCCUGAUCCAGCCAUGCCGCGUGCAGGAUGACGGUCCUAUGGAUUGUAAACUGCUUUUAUACGAGAAGAAACCCUCCGACGUGUCGGAGCUUGACGGUAUCGUAAGAAUAAGGAUCGGCUAACUCCGUGCCAGCAGCCGCGGUAAUACGGAGGAUCCAAGCGUUAUCCGGAAUCAUUGGGUUUAAAGGGUCCGUAGGCGGUCAGGUAAGUCAGUGGUGAAAGCCCAUCGCUCAACGGUGGAACGGCCAUUGAUACUGUCUGACUUGAAUUAUUAGGAAGUAACUAGAAUAUGUAGUGUAGCGGUGAAAUGCUUAGAGAUUACAUGGAAUACCAAUUGCGAAGGCAGGUUACUACUAAUGGAUUGACGCUGAUGGAC